rnacentral:rRNA from 1 species
CCUACGGGUGGCUGCAGUGAGGAAUAUUGGUCAAUGGACGAGAGUCUGAACCAGCCAAGCCGCGUGAAGGAUGACUGCCCUAUGGGUUGUAAACUUCUUUUAUACAGGGAUAAAACGAGGCACGUGUGCCUUUCUGCAUGUACUUUAUGAAUAAGGAUCGGCUAACUCCGUGCCAGCAGCCGCGGUAAUACGGAGGAUCCGAGCGUUAUCCGGAUUUAUUGGGUUUAAAGGGUGCGUAGAUGGGUUGUUAAGUCAGUGGUGAAAGUUUGCGGCUCAACCGUAGAAUUGCAUUUGAUACUGGUAGUCUUGAGUACAGUUGAGGUAGGCGGAAUUCGUGGUGUAGCGGUGAAAUGCUUAGAGAUCACGCAGAACCCCGAUUGCGAAGGCAGCUUACUAAGCUGUGACUGACAUUGAGGCUCGAAAGUGUGGGUAUCAAACAGGAUUAGAUACCCGAGUAUUC